rnacentral:rRNA from 1 species
UACAACCCGAAGGCCGUCAUCCCCCACGCGGCGUCGCUGCAUCAGGCUUGCGCCCAUUGUGCAAUAUUCCCCACUGCUGCCUCCCGUAGGAGUCUGGGCCGUAUCUCAGUCCCAGUGUGGCCGGUCACCCUCUCAGGCCGGCUACCCGUCGUCGCCUUGGUAGGCCAUUACCCCACCAACAAGCUGAUAGGCCGCGGGCCCAUCCCACACCGCAAAAGCUUUCCACCACACACCAUGAAGCAUGCGGUCAUAUUCGGUAUUAGACCCAGUUUCCCAGGCUUAUCCCAAAGUGCAGGGCAGAUCACCCACGUGUUACUCACCCGUUCGCCACUCGAGCACCCCGAAGGGCCUUUCCGUUCGACUUGCAUGUGUUAAGCACGCCGCCAGCGUUCGUCCUGAGCCAGGAU